rnacentral:rRNA from 1 species
UUUUUCCUACGGGGGGCAGCAGUGGGGAAUAUUGCACAAUGGGGGAAACCCUGAUGCAGCAACGCCGCGUGAGUGAAGAAGGUUUUCGGAUUGUAAAGCUCUGUUAGCAGGGAAGAGGAAGGACGAUACCUGCAGAGGAAGCCACGGCUAACUACGUGCCAGCAGCCGCGGUAAUACGUAGGUGGCAAGCGUUGUUCGGAAUAACUGGGCGUAAAGGAUGCGCAGGCGGUUAAACAAGUUAUAUGUUAAAUAUAUAGGCUUAAACUGUAGAAAGCAUAUAAAACUGUCAAACUAGAGUGCAGGAG